rnacentral:tRNA from 1 species
GCGGGAGUAGCUCAGUUGGUAGAGCAUCAGCCUUCCAAGCUGAGGGUCGCCGGUUCGAACCCGGUCUCUCGCUCCA